AUUUUAUUAGGAAGGAAACAACCAAGCACCCCAUGCUCCUGCCAGGCCACAGAAAUAAACCCGUGUACUGCUUAUUGUUAGCACAACAUCACCAGAAAACGAUAACGACAGCCAAGCAGGACAGACAGUUAAGUAGUACUUCUACACCCCCAAACUCAGGGAGCCCUAUAACCUUAAAGAGGGAGCAUUUGCUACACAAAAGCACUAUCCACAGCCAGGGAUGAUGUAGACACAAGAAUAAAUAAGGAGAAAGGAGACCCUAGAAUUCAUGUCCCUUACGCCUCACAGCGACGAAGCCUGGGAAGCUGGUUGGUCUAGCAUCUACGCAGAAUAUGUACACCUUGUUGGGAGAGAUGGGGGCAGCCCAAAAAAGCUCCUCAGCGGGCUGAAGAGGGAGCAAGAUGGGCUGAGGGGAGCUUGGAGUUCAUGCUGCAGUAGGAAGAGGGAAGCUCUUCAGUCCAGUGCGCUGCAGGGUGGGAAAGCAACAACACGGACACCGUCCCACCCUCAACCCCCCCACUGGCACAGGGUCACACAAUCUGGGUCAAAGAAAUAGUGGGGCCCUUGUGGUCAUCAAAGCGAUCCAUGGUCUUGAGGCUGAGGAUCAUGUGCAGGCCAUAGGUGAAGAUGAAGAGCAUGAACAGGGAGGUGAGCAGCCCCAUCCAGAUGCCGGGGGAGAAGAAGCUGGCACAGUCGCUGGCGUAGGAGAACUGCUCCCCCGUUACGUUGAAAGCCUGGAUCUGGCAGAC
rnacentral:lncRNA from 1 species